GACAACAAAGGUUCUAAACCUCUUUGAACUUCAUCAUAUGUUAGUGUAGGAUGCAAAUAUGCAUUAAAAAUUAUUUUCAUUUUUUUUUUAAUUUUUCUCAAAAUCUAUGGGUUAACACCACUACAAAAAUAUUGAGUUUUUGGGUAAAUUCUCUAUAAACUGAAGCAUAUGAUCUUUAGUGUUGUUUUAAAAUUUCUAAACACAUUUUACAUUUGUAUUAAUCUAUAUUAAACUCUCUUUCAUGGUACAUGAGCAUCGUUUCAAUAUUUUUUUUCAAUUAAUUUAGUAAAACUUCAUAAUACUCGCUAAAUU
rnacentral:lncRNA from 1 species